ACGGAAGUAAUCAACAUAGAAUUAAUAAUGCGAUAAAUUCUUUUGAUUCGAUGUGGUUUUAUCUUUUACGAAAGAUUGAUCCAAUAUUUGGUGAAUCGUACAUGUCAUACUUUCUAAGAAUGAUAGUACAAGAUAAAAUUCCAUUGCCUAAGGAAUUAAUACCUAAGUUUUAUGGUAAUGGAAAAUUGGAAU